AUGAUGCCGACUAUAAUUGCGGUUGGCUUUUGGAUCUUGUGGAGCAUAUUCCACGAUUCGGGCCACUCGUCCCGAGGGCUCGCCCCCGAUCGUGGAGGGUUUUGUUCGGUGGAGUGUUAGCGGCAGCGUCGGUCCUCUUCCUUCGCUGAAAGGCAACCUGCGUCGCCCUCAUCAUCGCUGCUGGCGGCGUGCCUUUCGAAAGGGUUCGUACGCUGUUUCACUUUAUUCCUUGAGCUUUACUCUUCGUAAUCGGUGAAGUAAAGACCGGCCCCCUAUAUCACGGGAAACGGCAGCCUUUUACCCCUUUCCUAUCGGGUCGUCUGGUCACUGAUUUCAGUCUAGGAGGCCUGCACGUUACCUGUUCGACGUAAUGAUCGAGACAAAAUUUGUCCUCCGUGACCUGCGUCCGCCAUACUAGGAGUAAUGUGCGGUCGUGCAUGGCGAAUGCCCUUCUUUCACAGUUUCAGUUAAUCAAAUAAAGAGGCUAGUUAGGUUGGAAUUUUCCACCUUAAGUUCCCAGUUAGAUUUUGUGGGUUGAAAUGUUGGGUUAAGGAAGAUGGAACUUGUAAUAGAUGAUAAACCCCCGUUUCCCGACGGUGAAUUGAUUGGAACCUGUGUAUUUGAACAACUGAAAUUUGUUGGACGCCAACUAGUUGUAAUGUUUUUA